CAAUGUUGAUCGUGUUUAUGACGUCGAAUAUCGACGUCAUAAACAUCUAAGUUGAUCGUGUUUAUGGCGUCGAUUAUCGACGUCAUAAACACCAAAG